rnacentral:lncRNA from 1 species
UGCUGGGCUCAGUGCUACUGCUGCGGUCCAAGUCUCAGCAAGAAAACUUUGCAACUCUCGCCAUGAAGCUGAUGAUGCUGAUGCUGGUGCUGCUGGGCGCCGCCUACACCGCUGAGGCGACAGGAGAUGUCCAGGAGUCACGCCAGACCUCCAUUGACGAGUACAUAAAUCUGUACAUCAGAGGCGAACUGAAGAAUCCCUGCUGUAACUCCUGCUCAGACAGAACACAGG